rnacentral:rRNA from 1 species
AGUGGGGCAAGACUAUAAUGCAGUCGAGCGGACAGAUGGGAGCUUGCUCCCUGAUGUUAGCGGCGGACGGGUGAGUAACACGUGGGUAACCUGCCUGUAAGACUGGGAUAACUCCGGGAAACCGGGGCUAAUACCGGAUGGUUGUUUGAACCGCAUGGUUCAGACAUAAAAGGUGGCUUCGGCUACCACUUACAGAUGGACCCGCGGCGCAUUAGCUAGUUGGUGAGGUAACGGCUCACCAAGGCGACGAUGCGUAGCCGACCUGAGAGGGUGAUCGGCCACACUGGGACUGAAACACGGCCCAGACUCCUACGGGAGGCAGCAGUAGGGAAUCUUCCGCAAUGGACGAAAGUCUGACGGAGCAACGCCGCGUGAGUGAUGAAGGUUUUCGGAUCGUAAAGCUCUGUUGUUAGGGAAGAACAAGUGCCGUUCAAAUAGGGCGGCACCUUGACGGUACCUAACCAGAAAGCCACGGCUAACUACGUGCCAGCAGCCGCGGUAAUACGUAGGUGGCAAGCGUUGUCCGGAAUUAUUGGGCGUAAAGGGCUCGCAGGCGGUUUCUUAAGUCUGAUGUGAAAGCCCCCGGCUCAACCGGGGAGGGUCAUUGGAAACUGGGGAACUUGAGUGCAGAAGAGGAGAGUGGAAUUCCACGUGUAGCGGUGAAAUGCGUAGAGAUGUGGAGGAACACCAGUGGCGAAGGCGACUCUCUGGUCUGUAACUGACGCUGAGGAGCGAAAGCGUGGGGAGCGAACAGGAUUAGAUACCCUGGUAGUCCACGCCGUAAACGAUGAGUGCUAAGUGUUAGGGGGUUUCCGCCCCUUAGUGCUGCAGCUAACGCAUUAAGCACUCCGCCUGGGGAGUACGGUCGCAAGACUGAAACUCAAAGGAAUUGACGGGGGCCCGCACAAGCGGUGGAGCAUGUGGUUUAAUUCGAAGCAACGCGAAGAACCUUACCAGGUCUUGACAUCCUCUGACAAUCCUAGAAGAUAGGACGUCCCCU